rnacentral:rRNA from 1 species
UACGAACCGUACAAACGUUAUUCGGAAUCACUGGGCUUAAAGGGUGCGUAGGCGGCCAUGUAAGUGCGGUGUGAAAUCCCUCGGCUCAACCGAGGAACUGCGCUUCAUACUGCAUGGCUUGAGGGAGACAGGGGUAAGCGGAACUGAUGGUGGAGCGGUGAAAUGCGUUGAUAUCAUCAGGAACACCGGUGGCGAAAGCGGCUUACUGGGUCUCUUCUGACGCUGAGGUACGAAAGCUAGGGUAGCGAACGGG